rnacentral:rRNA from 1 species
UGGGGAAUUUUUGGACAAUGGGCGAAAGCCUGAUCCAGCAAUGCCGCGUGUGUGAAGAAGGCCUUCGGGUUGUAAAGCACUUUUGUCCGGAAAGAAAUCCUUGGCUCUAAUACAGUCGGGGGAUGACGGUACCGGAAGAAUAAGCACCGGCUAACUACGUGCCAGCAGCCGCGGUAAUACGUAGGGUGCAAGCGUUAAUCGGAAUUACUGGGCGUAAAGCGUGCGCAGGCGGUUUGCUAAGACCGAUGUGAAAUCCCCGGGCUCAACCUGGGAACUGCAUUGGUGACUGGCAGGCUAGAGUAUGGCAGAGGGGGGUAGAAUUCCACGUGUAGCAGUGAAAUGCGUAGAGAUGUGGAGGAAUACCGAUGGCGAAGGCAGCCCCCUGGGCCAAUACUGACGCUCAUGCACGAAAAGCGUGGGGAGCAAACAGGAUUAGAUACCCUGGUAGUCCACGCCCUAAAACGAUGUCAACUAGUUGUUGGGGAUUCAUUUCCUUAGUAACGUAGCUAACGCGUGAAGUUGACCGCCUGGGGAGUACGGUCGCAAGAUUAAAACUCAAAGGAAUUGACGGGGUCAUAGCUGUUUCCU